CUCCUACGGGAGGCAGCAGUGGGGAAUAUUGCACAAUGGGGGAAACCCUGAUGCAGCGACGCCGCGUGAGCGAUGAAGGCCUUCGGGUCGUAAAGCUCUGUCCUAAGGGAAGAUAAUGACGGUACCUUAGGAGGAAGCCCCGGCUAACUACGUGCCAGCAGCCGCGGUAAUACGUAGGGGGCGAGCGUUGUCCGGAAUUACUGGGCGUAAAGGGUGCGUAGGCGGCCUUGUAAGUCAGAUGUUAAAGCCCUCGGCUUAACCGAGGUAAGCAUUUGAAACUGCAGGGCUUGAGUACAGGAGAGGAGAGUGGAAUUCCUAGUGUAGCGGUGAAAUGCGUAGAUAUUAGGAAGAACACCAGUGGCGAAGGCGACUCUCUGGACUGUAACUGACGCUGAGGCACGAAAGCGUGGGGAGCGAACAGGAUUAGAUACCCUGGUAGUCCACGCUGUAAACGAUGAGUGCUAGGUGUUGGGGGAGACAUCCUUCAGUGCCGCAGUUAACACAAUAAGCACUCCGCCUGGGGAGUACGGUCGCAAGACUGAAACUCAAAGG
rnacentral:rRNA from 1 species